GAUGAAGAACGUAGCGAAAUGCGAUAAGUAAUGUGAAUUGCAGAAUUCAGUGAAUCAUCGAAUCUUUGAACGCACAUUGCGCCCGCUAGUAUUCUGGCGGGCAUGCCUGUUCGAGCGUCAUUUCAACCAUCAAGCCCUGCUUGUGUUGGAGCCCUGCGGCUGCCGCAGCCUCCCAAAACCAGUGGCGGGCUCGCUAUCACACCGAGUGCAGUAGUUUACUCUUCGCUCAGGGCGUGUGGCGGGUGCUAGCCGUGAAACCCCCAACUUCUCAAGGUUGACCUCGGAUCAGGUAGGAAUACCCGCUGAACUUAAGCAUAUCAAUAAGCGGAGGA
rnacentral:misc_RNA from 1 species